UACGUAGGGUGCAAGCGUUGUCCGGAAUUAUUGGGCGUAAAGAGCUCGUAGGCGGUCUGUCGCGUCUGGUGUGAAAACUCGGGGCUUAACCCCGGGCCUGCAUCGGGUACGGGCAGACUAGAGUGUGGUAGGGGAGACUGGAAUUCCUGGUGUAGCGGUGAAAUGCGCAGAUAUCAGGAGGAACACCGGUGGCGAAGGCGGGUCUCUGGGCCAUAACUGACGCUGAGGAGCGAAAGCAUGGGGAGCGAACAGG
rnacentral:rRNA from 1 species